ACUCCUACGGGAGGCAGCAGUGGGGAAUAUUGCACAAUGGGCGGAAGCCUGAUGCAGCAACGCCGCGUGCGGGAUGACGGCCUUCGGGUUGUAAACCGCUUUUAUAUGUGACGAAUAUGACGGUAGCAUAUGAAUAAGGAUCGGCUAACUCCGUGCCAGCAGCCGCGGUAAU
rnacentral:rRNA from 1 species